rnacentral:rRNA from 1 species
UACAGAGGUCUCAAGCGUUGUUCGGAUUCAUUGGGCGUAAAGGGUGUGUAGGUGGCGCCGUAAGUCGGGUGUGAAAUUCCGGAGCUUAACUCCGAAACUGCAUUCGAUACUGCGGUGCUUGAGGACUGGAGAGGAGACUGGAAUUUACGGUGUAGCAGUGAAAUGCGUAGAUAUCGUAAGGAAGACCAGUGGCGAAGGCGGGGUCUCUGGACAGUUCCUGACACUGAGACACGAAGGCCAGGGGAGCAAACGGG